CAGCAGUGAGGAAUAUUGGUCAAUGGGCGCGAGCCUGAACCAGCCAAGUCGCGUGAGGGAUGACGGUCCUACGGAUUGUAAACCUCUUUUGCCGGGGAGCAAGCGUGCGUUCGUGAACGCGCGUCGAGAGUACCCGGAGAAAAAGCAUCGGCUAACUCCGUGCCAGCAGCCGCGGUAAUACGGAGGGUGCGAGCGUUAUCCGGAUUUAUUGGGUUUAAAGGGUGCGUAGGCGGGAUGCCAAGUCAGCGGUAAAAAUGCGGUGCUCAACGCCGUCGAGCCGUUGAAACUGGCGUUCUUGAGUGGGCGAGAAGUAUGCGGAAUGCGUGGUGUAGCGGUGAAAUGCAUAGAUAUCACGCAGAACUCCGAUUGCGAAGGCAGCAUACCGGCGCCCUACUGACGCUGAGGCACGAAAGCGUGGGUAUCGAACAGGAUUAGAUACCCUGGUAGUCCACGCAGUAAACGAUGAAUGCUAACUGUCCGGCUCGAAUGAGCGCUGG
rnacentral:rRNA from 1 species